UACGGGGGGAGCAAGCGUUGUUCGGAUUUACUGGGCGUAAAGGGCGCGUAGGCGGUCGUGACAAGUCACUUGUGAAAUCUCCGGGCUUAACUCGGAACGGUCAAGUGAUACUGGCGGACUAGAGUACAGAAGGGGCAACUGGAAUUCUCGGUGUAGCGGUGAAAUGCGUAGAUAUCGAGAGGAACACCUGCGGCGAAGGCGGGUUGCUGGGCUGAUACUGACGCUGAGGCGCGAAAGCUAGGGUAGCAAACGGG
rnacentral:rRNA from 1 species